rnacentral:rRNA from 1 species
AUUGAACGCUGGCGGCAUGCCUUACACAUGCAAGUCGAACGGUAACGGGCCUUCGGGUGCCGACGAGUGGCGAACGGGUGAGUAAUACAUCGGAACGUGCCCGAUCGUGGGGGAUAACGAGGCGAAAGCUUUGCUAAUACCGCAUACGAUCUACGGAUGAAAGCAGGGGACCGCAAGGCCUUGCGCGGACGGAGCGGCCGAUGGCAGAUUAGGGAGUUGGUGGGAUAAAAGCUUGCCAAGCCGACGAUCUGUAGCUGGUCUGAGAGGAUGAUCAGCCACACUGGGACUGAGACACGGCCCAGACUCCUACGGGAGGCAGCAGUGGGGAAUUUUGGACAAUGGGCGCAAGCCUGAUCCAGCCAUGCCGCGUGCAGGAUGAAGGCCUUCGGGUUGUAAACUGCUUUUGUACGGAACGAAAAGCCUUCUUUUAAUACAGGAGGGUCAUGACGGUACCGGAAGAAUAAGCACCGGCUAACUACGUG